rnacentral:rRNA from 1 species
GAUGAACGCUAGCGGCAGGCCUUACACAUGCAAGUCGAGGGGUAACAUUUGUGCUUGCACAAGAUGACGACCGGCGCACGGGUGCGUAACGCGUAUACAAUCUACCUUUUGCUGAGGGAUAGCCCAGAGAAAUUUGGAUUAAUACCUCAUAGUAUGCAGACUUCUCCUGAAGAUUGCAUUAAAGGUAACGGCAAAAGAUGAGUAUGCGUCCUAUUAGCUAGAUGGAGUGGUAACGGCACACCAUGGCAACGAUAGGUAGGGGCCCUGAGAGGGGGAUCCCCCACACUGGUACUGAGACACGGACCAGACUCCUACGGGAGGCAGCAGUGAGGAAUAUUGGACAAUGGAGGCAACUCUGAUCCAGCCAUGCCGCGUGCAGGAAGACUGCCCUAUGGGUUGUAAACUGCUUUUAUACGGGAAGAAACACCACUACGUGUAGUGGCUUGACGGUACCGUAAGAAUAAGGAUCGGCUAACUCCGUGCCAGCAGCCGCGGUAAUACGGAGGAUCCAAGCGUUAUCCGGAAUCAUUGGGUUUAAAGGGUCCGUAGGUGGAUGAUUAAGUCAGAGGUGAAAGUCUGCAGCUCAACUGUAGAAUUGCCUUUGAUACUGGUUAUCUUGAAUUAUUAUGAAGUAGUUAGAAUAUGUAGUGUAGCGGUGAAAUGCAUAGAUAUUACAUAGAAUACCAAUUGCGAAGGCAGAUUACUAAUAAUCAAUUGACACUGGUGGACGAAAGCGUAGGUAGCGAACGGGAUUAGAUACCCCGGUAGUCUACGCCGUAAACGAUGGAUACUAGCUGUUGGAUUUCGGUUCAGUGGCUAAGCGAAAGUGAUAAGUAUCCCACCUGGGGAGUACGUUCGCAAGAAUG